CCACAGCCAGGACACCUCUGCUGGCCUCCCCUUCCCCAGCCUUCCAACUUGUGGCAGGCCCCUGGCUCUGGCCUCCCCCUAUAUGGGAAUGAGCCAGCUGCACCGCUGCUGACAGUGGCUGGGAUAAUCCUCCCUGAGCUGUUCCAAGGAUUAGUCCUGCUGCCCUGUGCCCAGCUCCCACACAACGGGGUUUCGGGGCUGUGGACCCUGUGCCAGGAAAGGAAGGGCGCAGCUCCUGCAAUGCGGAGCAGCCAGGGCAGUGGGCACCAGGCUUUAGCCUCCCUUUCUCACCCUACAGAGGGCAGGCCCUUCAGCUCCAUUCUCCUCCAAGGCUGCAGAGGGGGCAGGAAUUGGGGGUGACAGGAGAGCUGUAAGGUCUCCAGUGGGUCAUUCUGGGCCCAGAGAUGGGUGCUGAAGCUCCCACACCUGCCUGUGAAAAUGGAUUCCUCUCUCACCUGGGAGAGCCAGGUGCUGCCCCGAGAAGGAUGCAUUUAUGGCUUCAUGAAGUCUUUCCUGACCCCCGAUGCUGCUGACUAUAGGUAAGUCUGAGCAAAUCUGGGGGAGCCUCAUCUUGGCAUGAGAAAGAGAUGGCUUCUUCUAAGCCCACUGGCUGUGAUCCCAGGAUUAUAACACAUUCUGGCUCAAGUCCAGACUAUUUGUAGAACACAGGAGAUCCUCCAUGAGAGGUAGUAUAAUAUAGAGGAUAUGUGUGCUUACUAAGAGGCUGCCUGUCUGACCUUGGACAAGUUCUUUUUAUUUAUUUAUUUAUUUAUUUUUUAUAGAGACAAAGUCUCACUAUGUUGCUCAGGCUGGUCUUGAACUCCUGGCCUCAAGCGAUCCUCCCACCUUAGCCUCCCAAAGUGUUGGGAUUAUAGACAUGAGCCACUGCA
rnacentral:lncRNA from 1 species